rnacentral:misc_RNA from 1 species
AAGUCGUAACAAGGUCUCCGUUGGUGAACCAGCGGAGGGAUCAUUGCUGGAACGCGCUUCGGCGCACCCAGAAACCCUUUGUGAACUUAUACCUAUUGUUGCCUCGGCGUUAGGCCGGCCUCUUCACUGAGGCCCCCUGGAAACAGGGAGCAGCCCGCCGGCGGCCAACUAAACUCUUGUUUCUAUAGUGAAUCUCUGAGUAAAAAACAUAAAUGAAUCAAAACUUUCAACAACGGAUCUCUUGGUUCUG